rnacentral:rRNA from 1 species
CUACGGGAGGCUGCAGUGGGGAAUUUUGGACAAUGGGGGCAACCCUGAUCCAGCCAUGCCGCGUGAGUGAAGAAGGCCUUCGGGUUGUAAAGCUCUUUCAGCCGGGAAGAAAUCGCAUGGGUCAAUACCCUGUGCGGAUGACGGUACCGGAAUAAGAAGCACCGGCUAACUACGUGCCAGCAGCCGCGGUAAUACGUAGGGUGCGAGCGUUAAUCGGAAUUACUGGGCGUAAAGCGUGCGCAGGCGGAUGCUUAAGUCAGAUGUGAAAUCCCCGGGCUUAACCUGGGAAUUGCAUUUGAAACUGGGUGUCUAGAGUGCGUCAGAGGGGGGUGGAAUUCCACGUGUAGCAGUGAAAUGCGUAGAUACGUGGAGGAACACCAAUGGCGAAGGCAGCCCCCUGGGAUGACACUGACGCUCAUGCACGAAAGCGUGGGGAGCAACCAGGAUUAGAUACCCCUGUAGUC